GACGAACGCUGGCGGCGUGCCUAAUACAUGCAAGUCGAACGCAGUGGGGACGGGUGAGUAACACGUGGGUAACCUCCCAUCAGAGGGGAUAACACUUGGAAACAGGUGCUAAACCCAUACUGAUGGAUGUACCCGGGGGGGAUUGGCCAGUUGGUGGGGUAACGGCUCACCAAGGCCACGAUGCAUAGCCGGCCUGAGAGGGUGACCGGCCACACUGGGACUGAGACACGUCCCAGACUCCUACGGGAGGCAGCAGUGGGGAAUCUUCGGCAAUGGACGAAAGUCUGACGCAGCAACGCCGCGUGAGUGAAGAAGGUUUUCGGAUCGUAAAACUCUGUUGUUAGAGAAGCGGUAUCUAACCAGAAAGCCACGGCUAACUACGUGCCAGCAGCCGCGGUAAUUC
rnacentral:rRNA from 1 species